AUGAACGCUGGCGGCGUGCCUAAUACAUGCAAGUCGAGCGAACGGACGAGAAGCUUGCUUCUCUGAUGUUAGCGGCGGACGGGUGAGUAACACGUGGAUAACCUACCUAUAAGACUGGGAUAACUUCGGGAAACCGCAGCUAAUACCGGAUAAUAUUUUGAACCGCAUGGUUCAAAAGUAAAAGACGGUCUUGCUGUCACUUAUAGAUGGAUCCGCGCUGCAUUAGCUAGUUGGUAAGGUAACGGCUUACCAAGGCAACGAUGCAUAGCCGACCUGAGAGGGUGAUCGGCCACACUGGAACUGAGACACGGUCCAGACUCCUACGGGAGGCAGCAGUAGGGAAUCUUCCGCAAAGGGCGAAAGCCUGACGGAGCAACGCCGCGUGAGUGAUGAAGGUCUUCGGAUCGUAAAACUCUGUUAUUAGGGAAGAACAUAUGUGUAAGUAACUGUGCACAUCUUGACGGUACCUAAUCAGAAAGCCACGGCUAACUACGUG
rnacentral:rRNA from 1 species